UUUUGCCAGUCAGGCUCCUGUCUGGAGUCCAGCUAUCAGCUGGCUCCAGGCUCUGGCCAGGGGCCUGACUUCAAAGCUCUAAUA
rnacentral:miRNA from 1 species